UACUUAAAACUCCGGUGGUUGAAGAUGGGCAUGCGUCCUAUUAGUUAGUUGGUGAGGUAACGGCUACACCAAAACUCCGAUAGGUAGGGGUUCUGAGAGGAAGAUCCCCCACACUGGUACUGAGACACGGACCAGACUCCUACGGGAGGCAGCAGUGAGGAAUAUUGGACAAUGGACGAAAGUCUGAUCCAGCCAUGCCGCGUGUAGGAAGACUGCCCUCUGGGUUGUAAACUACUUCUAUAAGGGAAUAAAGCCCCGUACGUGUACGGGUCUGAAUGUACCUUAAGACUAAGCACCGGCUAACUCCGUGCCAACAGCCGCGGUAAUACGGAGGGUGCAAGCGUUAUCCCGGAUUUACUGGGUUAAAAGGGGCCGAAGGGUGCGAAUUGUACGUCAGUGAGUGACAUCUUUCGGCUUAACCGUAAAAAGUGCAUUUGAUACCUGCAGAUCUUGAGUAUGCUCGAAGUAGGCGGGAAUAUGUCAUUGUAGCGGUGAAAUGCCUAGAUGUGACCUAGAACACCAAUAGGCGAAGGCGGCUUACCCAGAUCAUAACUGACCACUGGGGGACGAAAGCGUGGAGAGCUAACCAGGAUUAGAUACCCU
rnacentral:rRNA from 1 species